rnacentral:misc_RNA from 1 species
UCGUAACAAGGUUUCCGUAGGUGAACCUGCGGAAGGAUCAUUAACAUUAAUUUACUACACACUGUUUUUUUACAACAAAACAAAUCUAUCUAAAAACAAUUCUUUACAAGAAAUUCUUAAAACUUUCAACAACGGAUCUCUUGGUUCUCGCAUCGAUGAAGAACGCAGCGAAAUGCGAUACGUAAUACGAAUCGCAGCUCUCGGAAUCAUCGAAUCUUUGAACGCACAUUGCACCAUUGGGUAUUCCCAAUGGUAUGCUUGUUUGAGCGAAUACUUCCCUAAUCCUCACGGAUUGUAUUGUGUUUGCACGAAAAUAAUGACGACAGUACUCUACAAAACGGUACCGUCAGUACACUCAUUUUUUUUCCUCAAAUCAAGUAGGACUACCCGCUGAACUUAAGCAUAUCA